UACGUAGGGAGCAAGCGUUGUCCGGAAUCAUUGGGCGUAAAGCGCGCGUAGGUGGCCCCAUAAGUCCGCUGUGAAAGUCAAAGGCUCAACCUUUGAAAGCCGGUGGAUACUGUGGGACUAGAGUACGGAAGAGGCGAGUGGAAUUCCUGGUGUAGCGUUGGAAUGCGCAGAUAUCAGGAGGAACACCAAUAGCGAAGGCAGCUCGCUGGGACGUUACUGACACUGAGGCGCGAAAGCGUGGGGAGCGAACAGG
rnacentral:rRNA from 1 species